rnacentral:rRNA from 1 species
AUUGAACGCUGGCGGCAGGCCUAACACAUGCAAGUCGAGCGGAUGAUGGGAGCUUGCUCCUGGAUUCAGCGGCGGACGGGUGAGUAAUGCCUAGGAAUCUGCCUAGUAGUGGGGGACAACGUUUCGAAAGGAACGCUAAUACCGCAUACGUCCUACGGGAGAAAGCAGGGGACCUUCGGGCCUUGCGCUAUCAGAUGAGCCUAGGUCGGAUUAGCUUGUUGGUGAGGUAAUGGCUCACCAAGGCGACGAUCCGUAACUGGUCUGAGAGGAGGAUCAGUCACACUGGAACUGAGACACGGUCCAGACUCCUACGGGAGGCAGCAGUGGGGAAUAUUGGACAAUGGGCGAAAGCCUGAUCCAGCCAUGCCGCGUGUGUGAAGAAGGUCUUCGGAUUGUAAAGCACUUUAAGUUGGGAGGAAGGGUUGUAGAUUAAUACUCUGCAAUUUUGACGUUACCGACAGAAUAAGCACCGGCUAACUCUGUGCCAGCCGCCGCAGUAA